GAAAGAUGAAAAGAACUUUGAAAAGAGAGUUAAACAGUACGUGAAAUUGUUGAAAGGGAAACGAUUGAAGCCAGUCGUACCUUCGGGUAAUCAGCCUUUCGGGUGCGAUUCUGUGGAGUUUGAGGAGCUUAACACCUUCAUGCUUUGCAUAUUCGUGCUCUUGGGUGUACUUGCCCGUGUGGUUGGUUAACAUCAAUUUUGGUGGUCAUAAAAUGACUGGAGGAAUGUAGCUUUGAUCUUGUAUUGAAGUGUUAUA
rnacentral:rRNA from 1 species